UGCAGAGUCUGUGCCUGACACACACCACGGUGAGCAGCAGAGAGGAGUCUGGCUGCACUUCUGCACUCAGGGCCUUCUUGUUCCACCACUCUGGCUAUCCCAGUGGGUUUUGUUCAUCAACACUCACCCCCCUUUUAGGAAACACAUCUUCAGAGAUUUCACAACAUGCUGUUUAGUUUCCAGUGAUGUCCAGACAAAUUCCAUCUUUUCAGAAUCUUGGCUAUUUAAAUACAGCCAACUUAUCUGUCCCAUUACCUCAGUCAAGCUUCUGAGGGGUCAGAUGACAAACAUCUUGGUAAAUGCCCUCUGCCACUUCCAGAAUGCACAUAUUCCUUAGUGUUCAACUACUGCAACCCUAAGCAGCUUCUUUCUGAAUCUGAAGAAAACUCAAUUUUUUAAUUCUAGUUAGGUAUGAGGGAAGAGAAAGGAUGGAACAAAGAUGAAAUUGUUCAUUUCCUAUUCCAUGCCAGGUUUUCUUUCGUGAGUAGCUGGGUCCAGGCGCUGUCUGUUGUGAAGCCCAGUUAAUUUGCCAGGAACCACAGGGCAAUGGAAAAGACCAGCCUCUGUGCUCUUCCCAAGGAGGAUGGCUGCUCUCUCCUUAGCAGAAUUUGUAGAGAAGAAAAAAAGAAGGAGGAAGGGAAGCCAGAAAGUCUUCUCAGCUGGGAGAGUUCUCCAGUCCAGCACUCCAGCUCCCUUCCCAGCAACCCCCACUGAAGUUUAUAACAAAACUUCCUGAGGUGCCAUCGCUAAAGCCUCCUAACUCAGAUUCACUCCAACAAAGAUCCGGAAGCCUCACACUUCUGUCUUCUGCAGAGUGAACAAGUCAACUACCCUCCUGCCUCCUCUCCCUGUGAUCAUGUCUAGACUUGCAGAGCAGUGGUGGGCAUGCCAUGGACAGACACGUGUAUAAUUGAGGGGACACCUGUGUCCAGAAGCUACACAUUUUUAUUUCUGAAAUUUUACACCACCUGCAGCUAGCUUCCUUGGGAAUGUGCUGUUGCUAUGACCCUGAGCGGGCUGCGUGGGAAGCAAAGAUUUAGCUUCCACAAGCCAAGAAACACACUGGAAAAGACUGGGGUGUUUGCCUUUUUUCAUCUGGAGAUAGAGAAUGUAAAUGCUGUUUAAUUAAAGUCAUAAUUCUAGCUUUUGUCA